CGAGGGGCAGCAUUGAGAUAGCUUGCUAUUUCAUAUGGCGACCGGCGCACGGGUGAGUAACGCGUAUCCAACCUUCCCUAUAAGUAAAGAAUAGCCCGGCGAAAGUCGGAUUAAUGCUCUAUGUUGUGUUUUGAGGACAUCUGACGAACACCAAAGGUUCACCGCUAUAGGAUGGGGAUGCGUCUGAUUAGCUUGUUGGCGGGGUAACGGCCCACCAAGGCGACAAUCAGUAAGGGUUUCUGGAGAGGAAGGUCCCCCACAUUGGUACUGAAAACGGACCAAACUCCCUACGGGAGGCAGCAUUGAAGGAAUUAUUGGUUCAAUGGGCCGAGAGCCUGGACCAGCCAAGUACGUGCAGGAUGACUGGCCCUAUGGGGUUGUAAACGCUUUUUAUCAGGGAUAAAGUGCGGGACGUGGUGCCGUUUUGUUUGACCUGAUGAAUAGGACCGGCUAAUCUCCUGUCCACACCCCGGAAUACGAAAGGCCCGGGC
rnacentral:rRNA from 1 species